UCCAGGGGAAGGGGGCGCGGUGGGGGACUUCUGAAGGGGCCAGACGUUCUUAGAUGUGGCAGUGGUCUGGGACCCCAAGAAUCAGCCCCGCAGGGGAAAGCUUAUUCCUCAGUGUUUCAUUUCUCCCUUUUAAUUUCGUUUUCUCCCUUCCUUGGGGUGGUGGGUGGGGGUCAUGGAGAGUGGCUGGGGACCAGGAGACUGAUCCUUUCCUUGCUGUUGAAAUUUCAGGUGUCAUUUCUACCCUGCUCACCUCACCUCAUCCUAGUCUCGUUUUCUCCUUUGCACGUUAAGGCAGUGCCCAGCACCCCAGCCCAGCCCAGCCUGGGAGGUGGGAGAUGUGGGGCACUUCCUUCCAUGCCUUUCCACCCUGACUGGACUGUGAACUCAUUCAGGGCAGAAAACACAUUUUAUGGACAUUUGAUGUGGAGCCCUGUCACGCGCCCUACACAACGGGGUGCGAGGGGUCCUCGGUAAAUACCCACGAGGACCCUUGGUCUACCAGAGCCGAAGGUGUAAGCACUGCUGGUUAAACAAUCUUUUGAACAGCUUUGAUGUUAGGACCUACAGAAUUAUGCUGCCUUAUUUAGCCUUGGUUAAAUAGUAAGUGAAUUUUAAAAGGGAAGUUUUUCUCAGGAUUGUCCAUUGUUACUGUUCUGUCUCCUCGUGGAGGUGUUCUUAUAGCCCCUGCUCCCUCAUGGCAGCGAUUCGUAGAGGUGUUACCUGUGCGUGUGAAAAGGUAGAGCAGAGUGUCCUCGGCGCCUGUCCUACUUGGCAAACGGGAUCAAACCAGCAUGCCUGCCUUUGCCAGACAGAAGCUCUGCGGGUCUGUCUGCCCCAAAGGGACAGAUCCAUUUUAAACUCCUCAGUUUGUAUUAAUUUCGAAUUAAGGAUUCUGUGUGGUGACAGUCUUAUCAAGGAUGGCUUGAUACCAGUUGAUCUGGUAGGGACAGCAAAUUACAAAACAAUUGCUUUCACACACUCCAGUGACUUUUAUAAAAAUUGUGAUGAAAAGUUAAUUUUUGCUGCCUUUUGAUUAAAAGCGUCCAUUCUUUCCCCCCUUGAUGCUUAAAAUGGACAUGAGUCAUAACUGCCUGCUUGAAGAGAAAAGCUUUAUAUUGCAAGUAAAUUGGUCUUUUCCCUCCUUCUUCCACCCAGUUUUGGUUCAUGGUGCACAAAGGUUUAAAAUUUUUAUGCUCCUGUUUUCUUUUGGCUUUUUAAUUCUUACUAAUGACUGACUAGAACUUAGAUAAUUUUAGCUUUAGUGACUUAAAAUGCUGUGCUAAGAAAUGUCCUCAUGGGACUUAAAAAUAUGUCACCUGUAACUUCUCAACAUGUAUCUGUCUUAUGUGUUCUGAUCAUUUGAUCAGUUAGGAAUUUUGCAAAUUGACUUCUGACAACCCAUGCACUCUCACCUAAUUGUGGAACUUAAUUCUAAAUGCCCUUUUACACUUUUUGUUUUUCAAUCAGGAAAAAGGCCAGUGUCUUAUCAACACUUAUCUAGCAGCAUGCUACAAAAGCGGAACUAUGAGAAUUUUAUUGGGAAUGCACAUUAUCGACCAAAUGACAAAAAAACUUGAUUUUUCUAUUUUGGGGAUGAAAGGUCUUGAUGGAUGUGUACUCUCCAUGAAAUUAAAUUAGUUCAUCUUUUGAAAAAGAAAAUGGUGAAAGCUACUGAAAUAAGCUGUGAUUGUACUGUAAAUAUAACAUAUAAGGAACACUACGGUUUUGUAAAGUUGUUCUGUUAAUUUUUGUACCAAAUAGCAAUAAAAACUAUAGUUGAAACAGUUGGGUUGUACACAGAUGGAGACCAGACAUCUCUAUUUUGCCCCAAAUAAUAUUUUUUUUUAGAAUUGACCAAAUAAGAAAUGGAAUUUUUUGCAUACUUGAGCGCUGCUGAAAAGAAAUCAUUUGGGUUGGGGGGGUGGGGCGGGGAGAAAGUAUAUAACGCUUGCACCUCAGGUAAAAAUCUGUAAAUAUAUGUUGUAAACCUGCUUGUUUAAAUACUGUGUGUAUUCUUUUUCUCUAAUGUAGCUCAUCACUUUGAGCAAGUUUCUGCUAUUUGUCCUCUUUCAUUUAAAAUGUAUGUUUCUAAAAAAAAAAUUUCAAUGAUUUGUAUAAUGUUAAAUCCUCCACAGUCUAUUGUCUUUGACAAAAUUGUUAACUGAAGCAUCGACCUAUGAUACGUGCUGCGUGAUCGAGGUCAGCCGUUCUGACCUGGGUGCCCUUUACUGCAAAUUUCAGGGCAUCAUCCGAGAAGGACCUCGAUCCACCAUCCUUUUCUGAGUAAAUGGGUGGUUUGUGGGAUUUUUAAGUGCGUGUGUCUACAGAGAAGUAUUCCUUCUGUAGGCCAGCUACACGUUCAGUAAACAUACCACAUUGUAUGUAGAGUUACUUAAAUUUGUUUUCUAUCAAGUUAAUCAUUUCUGUUGGAAAAUUCGUGGGGUUUUUUUUGGCGUUUGCCUAAAUUAGUACAUUAAAAAAUAUAAACGCUGAACUAUACAUGUGAAUUACAUACAUUGGAAGCAAUUUUAAAGGAAACGAGGGUGAAUUUUAGGUUUGUAUUUGGAGGGCUGGGUGCGCCUGGCAUUUGGGUUAACUGUGGACACACUCAAGUUAAUCACGGGCACGUCAGUUCUGCACCAGGAGUGGUGCCCGGGGAAGAGGGACUCAGUUCUGAGACCUCAGUUGUCUUCCCAGGGUUGGCUGGUUUGAAGCAGCGUUUUUGUCAGUGUACAAGCAAUUUGGGUUUUUAAAAGAGAGGAUAGCCACCAGCCGGCUUACUAAAUGUUUUAAACUUUUGUUCCUUUAAUCCUCUGUCCACGGCUGAGUGUAUUCAGCAGUACCUGGGUUUAGCGACCACAAAAUAUACUUUAUGAAGAAACUGUAUCAAAAUAAAUUUGCACUGUUAAUUUGUCUUGCCCGGCCCUUCUCCAUCAGAGGAAGGGUAAUGUCCUAAAAGAAUCCUGAUUUUUUUUGUUUGUUUUCAUUAUGCAACAUGACGCCUACUUGAUAGAGAAGUCUUAACUCCCGUGGGCAAAGGGAGGCCUAAUUGGAGAACAGUCUUCUGGCAUCGCGAUGAAGUGCUUUGUAUCAGGAAAGUGUACACUAUUUACUUUUUUCCUGUCCACAAGCUGAGCCAUAUGUACAUAAUCUAGAUGUUUGUUUUCAUAGUUUUGCACUUUUAUAGCCUAUUUUUGAAGAUUAACACAUUUACAAGAUAAUUGACCUGAUCUUGACCUAAUCCAGUGAGUGUUCCAGACAGCUUGCUGUGACUAUAAAUAUAAAUCCUAAAAGUGGAUACAUGAUAAUAGAGGGCUGAAAUUUAAAUCUGUAUUUAAAAAAAAAAAUCACCAAAUCUAUUUGAAAACAAGUCAAUUCGUGUUUUGCUGAAAUUUGGGGGCUUUUAGAUUUCUCCUUUUUAACUACGUUUCUGAAUGCAUACAGAUGUCAGUUUUUUUUUUUCCCCCACAGUCCUUGUUCUCCAAAAUAUAUUUUUUUGGUCCAUCAGUAUUAACUAUUGGGAUACUACUGGUUUUGUGUAUUUUUUUUUUUCCUUUGAGACAACAGUACAUAUAAUAGAGGUACAAUCCUUUGGAUUUUUUGUUUAUGUAUUUAUUUCAUUCCAGUUUGAUUUAUUUUAAUUGUUGAUACUUAAGUUGUCAAACUGUAGACAUUACUUGUUUUAUUUAUGAUAUAUUUCAGCUUAAAGUUAUGUUAUUAUAUGUGGAUGUAAAUAUAGAUUUGGUGUUUUGCAGUCUU